rnacentral:rRNA from 1 species
CAGCAGCCGCGGGAAUACGAAGGAUGCAAGCGUUAAUCGGAAUUACUGGGUGUAAAGCGUGCGUAGGCGGUGAGUUAAGUCUGCUGUGAAAUCCCCGGGCUCAACCUGGGAAUGGCAGUGGAUACUGGCUCGCUAGAGUGUGUCAGAGGAUGGUGGAAUUCCCGGUGUUGCGGUGAAAUGCGUAGAGAUCGGGAGGAACAUCAGUGGCGAAGGCGGCCAUCUGGGACAACACUGACGCUGAGGCACGAAAGCGUGGGGAGCAAACAGGAUUAGAUACCCCUGUAGUCCCUGUCUCUUAUAC